rnacentral:lncRNA from 1 species
AUCCCCCUGUUGUAUAUAUCCUGACUCCUCAAACAUACCUCCAGCACAUCUGCCUCUCUCACUAGAAUGUGAGUCCUCAAAGGCAGAGGCCAGGUCUAUUCAUCUUUGUUUUCCCAUAAUAUUUGUGUCUCAUAGAGCUGACAUGAAGGAAUGAAUAUAUGCCUUUUCCUCUCAAGUUUAUCAAGACUCAAUUGCACAAAUCUCAGUGAAUUUUGAUAGUUGGAAAGCAAACCCUACUCUCCUCUUUGCCUUUACUCAGCUGAAAUGCCAUUAUGGGAUGGUUGAAAAGAACAGCAAGUUCUCACAUGUCUAGUAAAAAAAAAGUUGUGGGCUGGGAAAUAUGAUGUAAAUGAUCAGGAUUGAAAACAAAAAUGUUUAUUUCCAGCCCUGGAAAUACUGCAGAUGGUACUGAAAUAUGACUCAAAAGAGUGAUUUCAUAAAAGUGUUGGUAUUUAUAUGAACAAUUCCAAGUAGAUGGAAUACUAAUUCUGAUAGAAAAGUUUUAAGAGUUUAAAUAGUUUUUCAUGAUUCUACUUUCAUGGAAUUCAGCUAGAAAGUAGAACUCAGUAAAUGACCUCCUGAAUAUCCUGCUUAGAUUAAACUCUGAUCAGUAUCACAUGCAUGCCAUCUAUGUCUAGUCCUCUAAUCUAAAAAGUCUUAAGGAAGAUUAAAAACUAACCCCUUAUAAUGUUAGACAUACCUAUGAACAAGUUUGUUCCCAUCAUUUCAUGACUUAACUAAAGUGUACCUAAGGUCUUGCACUUCAGCAUUCUUCUUCCCUGCCACAUAAGUUGCCAACUUCUGCAACACAAGUAAGAAAGUAUAAUAGAGUCACAAGAAUUAAAGUAAUCAAUAUGCAAUAAUUGAGGUACAGAUGAGUAUAUACACCCAUUAUUUAUAUUGUAAAAAUUGAAAAUUAUGCAUAUAGUUAUGGGUAUGCAAAAGUAAAAGCGUUGCAUACAGGUUUUUAGAGCUGAGUGCUGGCAAAUCUGAAGGAUCGGGAGAGACGUCAAAGACUUUCCAACUGCAAAUCCCAACUUCUAGUAAUUCUCAAAUCUGUGCCUAAUAGAAAGUCUCCUAUUCUGUUCCUAAGCACCUCCUAGACAUAGCUGUUGCAAAUUUGAUUAUCAAAUCUGAUCUUAUGUCAGCCCAAUGGAGUCCACUGAUUAUAGUACAAUAUUUAAGCUAACAUAUAUAUAAUUUUUAUUUGAAAAAUAAUAUUUGUUUCCCACGUUAGCUUACAGCAGAAUGAGAACACGCUGUACCAGCAAAAAGGGCAGCAUUUUCUCCAUCUGAUCUUUCAUCAAAUAGAAUUCUUAAUCAAGCCAGAAUCUUCUGAAAUACAUGAUUUGGAGACCUUCCAAAAAAACCUGUCCUGAAAGGGAUGGUAAAUUACAGUUUGAUCUCAUUUGUCCUAAAUUCUGUCCAUCAUUCACCUGUGAGUUAUAAUUGUCUCCCCCUUGUGAGACAUGUCCCAUAACUCAUUCUAGUCAGCAUGAUAUAUUUACUCCUAAAAGAUUCAUAUCUUAGAAAUAGCUUGAAUGUUUCAAACUAUGGUCUCUAAUUAAUCAGAAGGUAAUUGCAUUAAGUACCAUUCCAGUUGCCAAGUCUAAUCAGAUUGCACCCAAGUGAAUCUCUGUAUCUGGCAUGUUUUCUGAGAUUUAAUCAAGGGCAUGUUUUAAACGGAACUCUGUGACUGGACAUUGAAGUUCCCUCAAAUGUUUAGGUUAGAAAGAUCAAUCGUACAUUCAGCUUCCCUUUUCCACCAGGCGUUUUGUUUCUUGUUUGGAAACAGUUACAGGUUCAGGCAGGCAUUUUUUCAUGUGCAGAAACCCAGGAACUGUGGUUUGAAUAGACCAGGGAGCCUUUUACAAUUUAAGUCUAGAAACAAGUCUGCCACAAAUCAAAAAUCCAGUAGUGCAGAUAUGUGGAAGUGAAUGUACAUAUCUGCCAGAUCUCCCUUUGGAUCUUAUAAUAUAUAAUUCAAUUCACAACAAAGUGUCUUUUUAUGACACUUGCCCUGUAUUAGCUACUGUCCACAUCUCACUACAUACAUCUUAAGGUUGGGCACUGAUUCUUUUCUAUUGUAUCGAUUUUCACUCAUUAAAAACAAAAAAGCCUAAUACCUAAAAGUCCCUUAAUGUGUAUAGUGCAUUUAUGAAUGUGUAUAUUAAUUAAUUGAUGAAAUAAUGAAUAUGCAUAUGACAUUUUAUGACAGUGAAAACAGUCAAUGGAGGUUUUUAAUGGUUAAAGGCUAUGUGGUUAUUUACUUUAGAAGUCAAUUAGGCUGAAAAUUCAAAUUUGACUAUUACAUUUAAAGCAUUUGCCAGUAUUUUUUGAAUCACAUACUCUCAAGUUUUUUCAAAUAAAAUUUUCUCACUGGCAAAAUGUGAUGUUUAUAGUGUACUUCACGUGAGGUGUUUGUAAAUUUCACCCUGCUUCUCUCAUGUGUUCACAUUCACCUGAUCUUCUAUUUCAUUAACUCUUCCCAUGUCUGAAAAUAAAUUGAAGCAACUUCUCUUCAGAGGUUACAGGUCAGAUCAGAUAUGUUUGUAUUUGAAUGAAAUUCUUUAAAAGGACUAGUGCAUACUUAUAGUAAAUCUUACAUUGUAUCAGUUACUGUUAUUAGUGAAAACUAGGAAAUAAGUGCUAGGAUUUUUUUACAUAAAAUAAUCACUGGGUUUUAUUGUUCUAAUCUGAGUCAGUUCAAAGUCUGACUAUCCUGAAAAGAAACAGACACUGGCCAAAUGGUUUUUAGGGAAACAUAUCGUGGAUGUUUGAUAGAAAAGUCACUACAGGAGUUCCCAUCAUGGUGCAACUGAAAUGAACUCAACUAGGAAUCAUGAGGUUGCAGGUUCCACCCCUGGCCUUGCUCAAUGGGUUAACUAUCUGGCAUUGCCAUGAGCUGUAGUGUAGCUCGCAGACGCGGCUCAGAUCCCAAGUUGCUAUGGCUGUGGUGUAGGCGGGCAGCUACAGCUCGGAUUUGACCCCUAGCCUGGGAAACUCCAUAUGCCUCAGGUGCGGCCCU